AGAUUGAACGCUGGCGGCAUGCCUAACACAUGCAAGUCGAACGGGAGUAGCAAUACUCUAGUGGCGGACGGGUGAGGAAUACGUAGGAAUUUGCCCUUAAGUGGGGGAUAACCCGGGGAAACCCGGAUUAAUACCGCAUGACCUCGAAAGAGCAAAGUGGGGGAUCGCAAGACCUCACGCUUUUGGAGAAGCCUACGUCGGAUUAGCUAGUUGGUGAGGUAAUGGCUCACCAAGGCGACGAUCCGUAACUGGUCUGAGAGGAUGAUCAGUCACACCGGAACUGAGACACGGUCCGGACUCCUACGGGAGGCAGCCAGUGGGGAAUAUUGGACAAGUGGGCGCAAGCCUGAUCCAGCAAUGCCGCGUGUGUGAAGAAGGCCGUUCGGUUAGUAAAGCACGUUUAAGUUAGGAAGAAAACUAGCUACUAACACAGUCGAGUCGUUACGACGUACCGACAGAAUAAGCACCGGUCUAACUCUCGUAGCCGAGCCGACGCCGACGUAA
rnacentral:rRNA from 1 species